AAGCAGCUGGCACUUUCUUCCCGAUAUUUAUAUGUUUUGGCUUAAAUGAGACAGCAAUAUCAACACAGGGCAUAAAGUAUAAGAAAAAGGCUUGGUUUUCUGUGGCAAAUGAUUUUUCUGAGGAUAUCAUGGUACAAUAUGAUUUUGAUAAGGUUCCUGCUUUUGUAUCUGCUCAUCCAAGUUAUAAUGACCAAAGCAUCUUUUAUGGCCCCUUUGAAGAGAAAUUUUUGGAGGACUUUGUGAAACAAAAUUUUCUUCCUCCAAUUGUGCCCAUGAACCAUGACACGCUGAAGAUAUUGAAAGAUGAAGAGAGGAAAAUUGUCUUGACCAUCAUGGAAGACGAAUCCGAUGAAAAA